UUGAUAUAAAUAAAUACAAGA
rnacentral:piRNA from 1 species